AUGCACAUGUUCUUCUCUUGGUCAGGUUUAAUUUUCUCUUUAAAUUUUGUGCAAUGGCUAUUUGUUGAUGAGACUCAGAGAGAAGCCGAGGAGUCUUGGAGUAAAAGUGUCAAUUUUUAAUAGCUGCAUGAGCUGUGUAGAAGUCAGUUUCCAUGAAAAUAUAAAGGUAUGGCAUGCAACCAUCAUAAUUAUUUGGAUUAUGCAAUUUUACCUAGAACUUCUCAGAAGUUAAUAUAUACUAAUAAAAAAUUGAGAUACUUAAUUUCAUUCAAAAUUAAGAGGGUCAUUGCUUUUACAGAUAAUGGUGUGAAAAAGAUAUAAACAUUUCUGUGACUGAAUGAAAAUAUAUGAAAUAAAGAGGAACAGAGAACCUUAUGUGGCUUCUGCAUGGCCCAGGUUCAGGGUUCAAACACAGGAAGAAGAAGAUAAUAUGACUUCCAAAAUAGGAUGUGACUGCCAACGGAAAUAUGUCAUGCUGGAGUCCCACAGCAGCUUGCGACACUCUGGUAGGCCCACCCCUUUGGCCCAGCAUGCCAGAGGAGCCCAGCCAGUGGACAUCAACACAGUGGUGUUUGUGUUCACCUCCCACCCCAUGAACAAGAGAAAGAUGGCCUCAGGCUCCUAGAUGAAAAUUGAAGCCCACUGGAAAAGCAAAGAAAAUCUGCAAUAAAGGCACACCAAACCACCAUAGUUGGUAAGUCAGAGGAACCAGUACCUCACAUUGGAACCUGGUCUAAUUUCAGGGGAAAAACAGCUGGAAUCUGCAAUAGAAUCUUGAAGAGUUCAACCCAGCAGGAGGUUAGAGAGGUCAACUUGGGCCUUGCAGCCAAAAAUCAGCCUGAAACUCAGGGGACAGCUGCUGGCUUGCUGAGACUAAUUAACUUAGACCUGCACACUCCUGCCCACGCUGUCUAUUAUGUCAACAGAGGCAUACCCUGAAGGAAGCCCUCUAUUUGUAUAUUUUAUUUUCAAAGUGAUAUUUACAUCUUAGCAUUAAUCAUUUAAAAAAUUAUCUAUCCUUUUCUCAACUUUUCCUUUUUUAUCUUCUUUUUCUUCUUUUCUUUCUCACUCUC
rnacentral:lncRNA from 1 species